rnacentral:rRNA from 1 species
GACGAACGCUGGCGGCGCGCUUAACACAUGCAAGUCGAACGGAAAGGCCUGCUUUCCCUUGUGUAUUGCGGGUACUCGCGUGGCGAACGGGUGAGUAACACGUGAGUGAUCUGCCCCCAACUUGGGUAUAAGCCUGGGAAACUGGGUCUAAUUCCCGAUAGGACUGCAGGGUGGUGCCUGUGGUGGCAGACGAUUUUCUAGUGGCUGGGGAUGAGCUCGCGGCCUAUCAGCUUGUUGGUGGGGUAAUGGCCUACCAGGGCGGCGACGGGUAGCCGGCCUGGGAGGGUGGCCUGCGACGUUGUAACGGCGAUAUGGGCCAGAGUCCUAGGGCAGGCAGCAGUGGGGGGAAGUGGAGGAGGGGAGGAAGCCUGAGGCAGAGGCGCGGUGUGGCGGAUGACGGCGUGCGGGGUGGAAACUCCGGUCGACCGCGAGGAAGCCACCGGGUUGGAAGGGUUGUUACGGUAGUGGUAGAAGGAGCACCGGCUAACUACGUG